rnacentral:misc_RNA from 1 species
GAAAGAACGUAGUGAAAUGCGAUAAGUAAUGUGAAUUGCAGAAUUCAGUGAAUCAUCGAAUCUUUGAACGCACAUUGCGCCCAUUAGUAUUCUAGUGGGCAUGCCUGUUCGAGCGUCAUUAAUUCCACUUAAGCCCUGCUUAGUGUUGGGAAUCUACUCUAGUGGUGCUACCCUGGAGCUACCCCUGAAAGGGGGCUGGCCCGGUAGCUACCCUGUAGUUCCUCAAAGAUAGUGCGCGGAGUUGCGUGGUCCUCUGAGCUUAGUAACUAUACACCUAGCUUUUGAGUGUCCCGCGGCGCCUGCCGUUUAAACCCCAUCUUUUAAUGGUUGACCUCGGAUCAGGUAGGAAUACCCGCUGAACUUAAGCAUAUCAAUAAGCGGAGGA